GGAAGGGUCGCAUAGCUGGCCUAGUGCACGUGCUUGGAAAGCACGCAACCCGAAAGGGUUCGCGAGUUCGAAUCUCGCCCCUUCCGCCA
rnacentral:tRNA from 1 species